AUUGAACGCUGGCGGCAGGCCUAACACAUGCAAGUCGAACGGAGUGGCGGACGGGUGAGUAAUGUCUGGGAAACUGCCUGGUAGUGGGGGAUAACGUCCGGAAACGGGCGCUAAUACCGCAUCCUAUCAGAUGAGCCUAGGUCGGAUUAGCUAGUUGGUGGGGUAAAGGCCUACCAAGGCGACGAUCCGUAACUGGUUUGAGAGGAUGAUCAGUCAAACUGGAACUUAGACACGGUCCAGAUUCCUACGGGAGGCAGCAGUGGGGAAUAUUGGACAAUGGGCGAAAGCCUGAUCCAGCCAUGCCGCGUGUGUGAAGAAGGUCUUCGGGUUGUAAAGCACUUUCAGCGGGGAGGCGUUACCCGCAGAAGAAGCACCGGCUAACUCCGUGCCAGCAGCCGCGGUAAUUC
rnacentral:rRNA from 1 species